rnacentral:rRNA from 1 species
AACGAACGCUGGCGGCAUGCCUAACACAUGCAAGUCGAACGAACCCUUCGGGGUUAGUGGCGCACGGGUGCGUAACGCGUGGGGAUCUGCCCAAAGGUUCGGAAUAACUCAGAGAAAUUUGAGCUAAUACCGGAUAAUGUCUUCGGACCAAAGAUUUAUUGCCUUUGGAUGAACCCGCGUAGGAUUAGCUUGUUGGUGGGGUAAAGGCUUACCAAGGCGACGAUCCUUAGCUGGUCUGAGAGGAUGAUCAGCCACACUGGGACUGAGACACGGCCCAGACUCCUACGGGAGGCAGCAGUGGGGAAUAUUGGACAAUGGGCGAAAGCCUGAUCCAGCAAUGCCGCGUGAGUGAUGAAGGCCUUAGGGUUGUAAAGCUCUUUUACCAGGGAUGAUAAUGACAGUACCUGGAGAAUAAAGCUCCGGCUAACUCCGUG